rnacentral:rRNA from 1 species
AGAGUUUGAUCCUGGCUCAGAACGAACGCUGGCGGCAGGCUUAACACAUGCAAGUCGAACGCCCCGCAAGGGGAGUGGCGCACGGGUGAGUAACGCGUGGGAACGUGCCUUAGAGUCUGGAAUAACAGCGGGAAACUGCUGCUAAUACCGGAUAUUCUCUUCGGAGGAAAGAUUUAUCGCUCUAAGAUCGGCCCGCGUCAGAUUAGCUAGUUGGUGAGGUAAUGGCUCACCAAGGCUCCGAUCUGUAGCUGGUCUGAGAGGACGACCAGCCACACUGGAACUGAGACACGGUCCAGACUCCUACGGGAGGCAGCAGUGGGGAAUAUUGGACAAUGGGCGAAAGCCUGAUCCAGCCAUGCCGCGUGAAUGAUGAAGGCCUUAGGGUUGUAAAGUUCUUUUGCCAGGGAAGAUAAUGACGGUACCUGGAGAAUAAGCACCGGCUAACUUCGUGCCAGCAGCCGCGGUAAUACGAAGGGUGCUAGCGUUGUUCGGAAUUACUGGGCGUAAAGAGCGCGUAGGCGGUUGUACUAGUCAGGGGUGAAAUCCCACAGCUUAACUGUGGAACUGCCUUUGAAACUGUGCAGCUGGAGUGUGUGAGGGGAUAGCGGAAUUCCUAAUGUAGAGGUGAAAUUCGUAGAUAUUAGGAGGAACACCGGUGGCGAAGGCGGCUAUCUGGCGCACAACUGACGCUGAGGCGCGAAAGCGUGGGGAUCAAACAGGAUUAGAUACCCUAGUAGUCC